rnacentral:rRNA from 1 species
UACGGAGGAUGCGAGCGUUAUCCGGAUUCAUUGGGUUUAAAGGGUGCGCAGGCGGCCCGGUAAGUCAGCGGUGAAAGUCAGGGGCCCAACCCCGGAAGUGCCGUUGAUACUGUCGGGCUGGAAUGCGGUCGAGGCGGGCGGAAUGUGGUGUGUAGCGGUGAAAUGCAUAGAUAUGCCACAGAACGCCGAUAGCGAAGGCAGCUCGCCAGGCCUGCAUUGACGCUCGGGCACGAAAGCGUGGGGAUCAAAC